AUUACAUUUUUAUUGUGUUUAUUCCGUCUAAUUACAUCGUAUCACGUGUAUAAAUCUUGAACUAGCCACUACGUAAUGGGUAGAGACUGUUGAAACUUGGGUUCUUUGCAACGAGUUACGGUAGCGUUGGGAGUCCCGGGCCGUGGGUACGACUCACAAACCGGUCCAUUUCCUCGAGCGUAAAACACUCAGGCUCCGUGCGGAAAGCCCCGCGGGCUCGCGCCGACCAGCGCCCGCCAGCGCCACUUUCGUGAUGACUAAUGUUUAUUUUUUAACAUUGAAUAUCGUUUGUGUGAGUCGUUCGGUGCUCGCGGUCGUGUCGUAUCGUUCGUGGUGUUUUGCUUUGUUUUAAUAAAUUCACAAUGUUUGGCGACGACGAUAACGAUCCUUUCAAAGACUUCGAUCGAAAAUUUAAGAAGCAAUGGGAGGAAAAUGAAAAGAGUUUCGAGCAGGCGAGGCACGUGCACAACGUGAUGAGCGUGGUGGUGCCGGUGCUGGCGGGGCUGGCGGUGCUGGUGGCGGUGGCGCUGUGCUGCUACCGCUGCUGCCGCCCGCGCAACCGCAGCAGGAGUGCUCGCCGCGUGAGUACCGCUGCCAUACUAUACGGGACUCACUAACACAUCACUCCACUCAUAAUGUACUGUACAUUUAAAUACAGUAAGGUUCAUACCUACAAAAGUAAUGCAUCUGGUGGAGGAUAGGGAAAACAUCUCACCUGGUGGUUUUAGUGAUUAUCGCAACGAUCAAUGCUGAUUAAUCUGUGAACGUCACCUGUCAGAGAAAACGGAAGGUCGGGGAAUGUUCUUCAGAUACCCGACCACACGAAAUGCAAGUAAAUAUCUGAAGUGAUUCAAGUUGUCUGUAAUGACGCGAGUGCAGCGGUCGAGAUGAAUGACGCGUGACGAGAUAUCUGAAUGACGCAACAGUCGGCAUGCACUGCAGCCGUAAGCGGAUAGUUGCGUUCAAGGAAAUCUGUGCGAGGCGACCUUCCGGCGGAGCCCUAGGGUCACUCGACAGAGUUAUCGCAAGACGUUGCGAUUAAGGCACGAGCCAGCCGCGACAAAAAUGUUGCGGUUUAAUUACUGCUCCCUUCAAUAUUUCCUUUAAAUUAUUGAUGCGUCAUAUUUGUUGCCCUAAUAAUUAUAAUUGUAUUUUUUUUGUGGUUAAUUUAAUUUCAGUAUAAUUUAAUAACUUCUAAUCCUUGAGUAAUGAGUAUGUAUUUUGGACGAGAUUUUCCCGGAACAUUAACGCGGAGUUAUGAUACAAGUCCGAGACGAGCCGCAGAUCGCAGGCUGCGACAUUACUAGUUCUAUGAGGUUGCUAUAGAAAAUGAUUCCGUCAACGCGGCAGGAUUUAGCGACCGCAGCGUCAGUUGUGCCGUGAACUGCAGGCCAUAAAAUUCGUACUAGAAUGAGAGUAGCGAAAGAACAAUCUCAUUCUCAUGAAAUAAUACAUCAAAUAUACGAGACUGAGUAAUACUAGUAUAUUAGUUAGAUUGCUUAUGUACCUGAUGUAAUAGAACAUUUAUGGAAAGGUCUGAGACCCACAGCCGAGGUAUGUGCGGCUUGCAGUCUACCUCAAAUUAGAAACUGUCUGAAUCGUAGGCAACAAUGCAGUCUGCGGCUUGUCUCGGACUUGUACCUUUAGAAGUUUGAAGCAAUAGACACAUUUCUAAACUCUCAUUUGGUUUGCUUAAGGAUACUCAUUUUAUUGAAAUGUCCCACUUAACGCUGCGCGCGCGCAACAUAGAAUCCUUUGAGUAUUGUUUGCGUCAUGAAUUGCUCCGCAUCAAGCGCUGAGAAACAUCUCACUCGGCACAUCGCGUCGCCGCGCGCCGUCCCUCUACUUAUAUUACAAUUUACUGUGAAUGCAGUGUUGUUCGCCUGUUCGGUGUUCAUUAUAUUAUUAAUAAUAUUUAUUUCAUACGAAUCUGCUUUACGAUGUUAACUGAUGCAUGGACGCGAUAUAUAUUUACCUUAUAACCUAUACACAUGGGGCUGAUAAUAGCAUAACAAAAAUUUACAUUCGAUGUGAAUUAUUCUUGUGCAAGUGACAUUAUGUUGAGUUGAAAUAUUAAUUGUAUGUUGUCUUCCCUUCCACUCAACCAAGGGUUUAUGUCAAUCAAAGCUGAGCGAGUACCUAAUUGUACUGAACUGAUAUAAUUACUAACCAAUAGAAUCGCAACAACCGAAUAUAUAACGUAAUAAAUUUACAAAUAACACUCAUAUUGGUUAUUGUUUUCGUUGGUCAGUUUAGAUUUUUCACAAAGCAAGAGAAAUUCUGGCCAUUUUUUAACAUGCAUGUAAAUUGUAGGCGAUGCACUAUCUUGUGGUCGCGCCCCCGUGUCGUGUGUUGUGUGUCGUGAGUCGUAUGAUGUAGCAUGUGUGUUGUGUAUUGCAGCUCCGACGCAGCCGGGCGGCGCGGCGCCGUACCCGCAGCAACAGUACACCGUAGCAGUGGCGACGUACCCGGUGCAGGGCGCGGGCGUGCCGUAUGCGGCGGCGGCGCCCUACCCCGCGCCCGCGCCGUACCCCGCGAGCCAGCCCGCCGCGUCGCCGUACCCCGCGCCGCACGCCGCGCCGCACCUGACGCCGUAC